rnacentral:tRNA from 1 species
AAAGGUUUAAGUUAAUAAAACUAAGAGCCUUCAAAGCUUUAAAUAGGAAUGAAAAUUUUUUAACCUUUG